AUUGCCCCAGUAACGGCGAGUGAAGCGGCAGCAGCUCAAAUUUGAAAUCUGGGGCCCUCGGCCUCCGAGUUGUAAUUUGGAGAGGCACCUUCUGGGGGGAGCGCCGGCCCAUGUUCCUUGGAACAGGACGUCACAGAGGGUGAGAAUCCCGUGCGAGGCAGGAUGCCUCCUCCCGUGUGAAGGACCUUCGACGAGUCGAGUUGUUUGGGAAUGCAGCUCCAAGUGGGUGGUAAAUUUCAUCUAAAGCUAAAUACCGGCGGGAGACCGAUAGCGCACAAGUAGAGUGAUCGAAAGAUGAAAAGCACUUUGAAAAUAGAGUCAAAAAGUACGUGAAAUUGUUGAAAGGGAAGCGCUUGAGACCAGACUCAGGCCCGGGCUAACAUCGAGCCCCUCGGGGCCGUGCAAUUGCCCGGGGCUGGGCCAGCAUCAGUUGGCGUGGCGGGACAAAGGCGCGGGCAAUGUGGCUCCCCUCGGGGAGUGUUAUUAGGCCCGCGCUCAAUGCCGCCGACGCCGACUGAGGACCGCGCCUCGGCUAGGAUGCUGGCUUAAUGGCCUUCAGCGACCCGUCUUGAAACACGGACCAAGGAGUCUAACAUCUAUGCGAGUGUUUGGGCGUCAAACCCUUGCGCGUAAUGAAAGUGAGCGGAGGUGGGAACCCCUCGCAGGGCGCACCAUCGACCGAUCCUGAUGUCUUCGGAUGGAUUUGAGUAGGAGCA
rnacentral:rRNA from 1 species